rnacentral:rRNA from 1 species
UUAAACCUACGGGGCGCAGCAGUGGGGAAUAUUGCACAAUAGGGGGAACCCUGAUGCAGCGACGCCGCGUGAGAGAAGAAGUAUUUCGGUAUGUAAAGCUCUAUCAGCAGGGAAGAAAAUGACGGUACCUGACUAAGAAGCCCCGGCUAACUACGUGCCAGCAGCCGCGGUAAUACGUAGGGGGCAAGCGUUGUCCGGAUUUAUUGGGCGUAAAGCGAGUGCAGGCGGUU